rnacentral:misc_RNA from 1 species
GAUGAAGAACGCAGCGAAAUGCGAUAAGUAAUGUGAAUUGCAGAAUUCAGUGAAUCAUCGAAUCUUUGAACGCACAUUGCGCCCGCCAGUAUUCUGGCGGGCAUGCCUGUUCGAGCGUCAUUUCAACCAUCAAGCCCCCGGGCUUGUGUUGGGGACCUGCGGCUGCCGCAGGCCCUGAAAAGCAGUGGCGGGCUCGCUGUCACACCGAGCGUAGUAGCAUACAUCUCGCUCUGGGCGUGCUGCGGGUUCCGGCCGUUAAACCACCUUCAUAACCCAAGGUUGACCUCGGAUCAGGUAGGAAGACCCGCUGAACUUAAGCAUAUCAAAAGCGGAGGA